CCUACGGGGGACAGCAGUGGGGAAUAUUGCACAAUGGGGGAAACCCUGAUGCAGCAACGCCGCGUGAAGGAAGACGGUUUUCGGAUUGUAAACUUCUGUUCUUAGUGAAGAAUAAUGACGGUAGCUAAGGAGCAAGCCACGGCUAACUACGUGCCAGCAGCCGCGGUAAUACGUAGGUGGCAAGCGUUGUCCGGAAUUACUGGGUGUAAAGGGAGCGCAGGCGGGAAGCCAAGUCAGCUGUGAAAACUACGGGCUUAACUUGUAGACUGCAGUUGAAACUGGUUUUCUAGAGUUGGAGAGAAGUAUGCGGAAUUCGUGGUGUAGCGGUGAAAUGCAUAGAUAUCACGAAGAACUCCGAUUGCGAAGGCAGCAUACCGGCUCCAUACUGACGCUGAGGCACGAAAGCGUGGGGAUCGAACAGGAUUAGAUACCCGAGUAGUC
rnacentral:rRNA from 1 species